GUCACCAUAACAUAGUGGUUUGAGUGCUGGACUAUGAAUCUGAAGAUUAGGGUUCAAUUCCCAACUUGGCCAUG